rnacentral:tmRNA from 1 species
GGGGAUGACAGGCUUCGACGGGGAAGGCUGGUCACGGACGGCAAGCCGAGGUUGCUCUAUCCUCGCUAAUCCAGAGCAAAACAAUUAGGUGCCAACAACACCGACUAUGCGGCUCUUCCCCUCGCUGCAUAAGCGAGGUAUGAGCCAGGCCUCCUGAGGGGGGCCACGUCCCCGCUGAGUGUUGGCCGGUCACUCAGCGAUCGGGCGUCAUGAAAACCGGCAUGCAGCCCCCGGACGCCGAUAACGGGGCCCAAGACACCAUUGGCUGGCCGGCGAGCGACCGCGUUGGUCCGGGUGCCGCCGGCGAGAGAAAAAUAGGCCGACUAUGCUUGUAAAAAAGUCCGUGCUCGAAUUCUUCGGACCCGGGUUCGAUUCCCGGCAUCUCCACCU